rnacentral:rRNA from 1 species
GUGGGGAAUAUUGGACAAUGGGGGGAACCCUGAUCCAGCCAUGCCGAGUGUGUGAAGAAGGCCUUUUGGUUGUAAAGCACUUUAAGCGAGGAGGAGGCUACCGAGAUUAAUACUCUUGGAUAGUGGACGUUACUCGCAGAAUAAGCACCGGCUAACUCUGUGCCAGCAGCCGCGGUAAUACAGAGGGUGCAAGCGUUAAUCGGAUUUACUGGGCGUAAAGUGCGCGUAGGUGGCCAAUUAAGUCAAAUGUGAAAUCCCCGAGCUUAACUUGGGAAUUGCAUUCGAUACUGGUUGGCUAGAGUAUGGGAGAGGAUGGUAGAAUUCCAGGUGUAGCGGUGAAAUGCGUAGAGAUCUGGAGGAAUACCGAUGGCGAAGGCAGCCAUCUGGCCUAAUACUGACACUGAGGUGCGAAAGCAUGGGGAGCAAACAGGAUUAGAAACCCUUGUAGUCC